GACAGAGGGGGCAAGCGUUGUCCGGACUGACUGGGCGUAAAGCGCACGCAGGCGGUUCGUUGUGUCGGCGGUGAAAGCCCCGGGCUCAACCUGGGAAUGGCCGUUGAAACUGGCGAACUGGAGUGUGGCAGAGGGGGGUGGAAUUCCGCGUGUAGCAGUGAAAUGCGUAGAUAUGCGGAGGAACACCGAUGGCGAAGGCAAUCCCCUGGGCCUGCACUGACGCUCAUGCACGAAAGCGUGGGGAGCAAACAGG
rnacentral:rRNA from 1 species